CAGAAGACAGAGUAAGUCCAAUCUGAGCUGAUACACACAUUCCGCAGCGCUUCGUGCAGCGCCAUGACUGCCAUCACUUCCCGGCUCCUCUCCACGACACCCAUCACUCGCACCAUGGAGCGCCGAAGAAUCUCAUAGAUUUUCCUGCACGGUAAACUCUCUUCCCGUCCCUCUUUCAUCGUGCCGCAUUGUGUGUUGCGGGGAUUUCAGAGGGAGGGAGAGAGAGCGAGAGAUCAGCCAUAUUUUAUGUGUGAGAGUGUUGUGUUCAUUGUUGAUUCACACACACAUCUUUCCCCUUUUACUUCCUAGAGUAGCGAGCGCCCUUCUUCUUCUUCCUCCUCUUGUUUCUCCUUCCACAAAAACAAGUCCGCCUGGUUUCGCUGUUGGAUGAU